GGGUAUAGCUCAGUGGCAGAGUGUGUGCUUAGCAUGCACAAGGUCCUGGGUUCAAUCCCCAGCACCUCCA
rnacentral:tRNA from 1 species